rnacentral:rRNA from 1 species
GACGAACGCUGGCGGCGUGCCUAAUACAUGCAAGUCGAACGCACUCUCGUUUAGAUUGAAGGAGCUUGCUCCUGAUUGAUAAACAUUUGAGUGAGUGGCGGACGGGUGAGUAACACGUGGGUAACCUGCCCUAAAGUGGGGGAUAACAUUUGGAAACAGAUGCUAAUACCGCAUAAAACCUAACACCGCAUGGUGUAGGGUUGAAAGAUGGUUUCGGCUAUCACUUUAGGAUGGACCCGCGGUGCAUUAGUUAGUUGGUGAGGUAAAGGCUCACCAAGACCGUGAUGCAUAGCCGACCUGAGAGGGUAAUCGGCCACACUGGGACU